AUUUUAACCAUCCGAACAAGUUCCUUCGAUCCAUCGACUUCAACAAGUGCUCUUGCAUAAGAAAGUCUACCUCUACUAGCCGUGACUUUAUCGGUAGAUAUGGGUUUUCCUACUUUGGAGACAAUUUUCCCCAAAGUGUUUGUGUUCCAAAAUUCCAACGGUAAUCCCGACAAAUUGAUCCAAGCCGGCAAAAUGCUAACAUCUUU
rnacentral:lncRNA from 1 species